GACGAACGCUGGCGGCGUGCUUAACACAUGCAAGUCGAACGGAAAGGCCUCUUUUGUGGGGUGCUCGCGUGGCGCACGGGUGAGUAACACGUGAGUAUCCUGCCCUUGUCUCUGGGAUAUCUCCUGGAAACUGGGGCUAAUAUCGGAUAGGAGCUCUUGCUGCACGGUGGGGGUUUGACAGUUUCGGCGGGUGGGGGUGGACUCGCGGCGUAUCGGAUUUUUUGUGGGGUAGUGGGUUAUCAAGGCUUUGUCGGGUAUCGGGCCGGGGAGGGUGUACGGCCAAAGUGGGGCCUGGGAACGGCCCCGACUCCGACGGGAGGCAGGAGGGGGGAAUAAUGCACAAUGGGUGGAAGGCUGAUGCAGCAACGCCGUGGGGGGGAGGACGGGCUUCGGGUUGGAAAACGGGUUCGCUCAGGACGAAGCUUUGUGUGACGGUAGUGGGUAAAGAAGCACCGGCUAACUACGUG
rnacentral:rRNA from 1 species